UUGAACGCUGGCGGCAGGCCUAACACAUGCAAGUCGAGCGGCAGCGCGGGGCAACCUGGCGGCGAGCGGCGGACGGGUGAGUAACGCGUAGGAAUCUACCCAGUAGCGGGGGAUAGCCCGGGGAAACUCGGCUUAAUACCGCAUACGCCCUAAGGGGGAAAGCAGGGGAUCUUCGGACCUUGCACUAUUGGCAGAGCCUGCGUGGGAUUAGCUAGUUGGUAGGGUAAAGGCCUACCAAUGCAACGAUCCAUAACUGGUCUGAGAGGAUGAUCAGGAACACCGGAACUGGGACACGGUCCGGACUCCUACGGGAGGCAGCAGUGGGGAAUAUUUGGCAAGGGGGGCAACCCUGAUCCAGCCAUGCCGCGGGUGUGAAGAAGGCCUUCGGGUUGUAAAGCACUUUAAGUGGGGAGAAAGGUUCGGCAGUUAAUACCUGCCGGAAGUGAUGUUACCCACAGAAUAAGCACCGGCUAACUCUGUGCCAGCCGCCGCCGUAA
rnacentral:rRNA from 1 species